GUGCUUGCUUCAACAGCACAUAUACUAAAAUUGGAAUGAUACAGAGAAGAUUAGCAUGGGCCCUGCGCAAGGAAGACAUGCAAAUUUGUGAAGCAUUCCAUAUUUUU
rnacentral:snRNA from 1 species